rnacentral:rRNA from 1 species
UAAGGGAUAUUGCGCAAUGGGCGAAAGCCUGACGCAGCAACGCCGCGUGGAGGAUGACGGCCUUCGGGUUGUAAACUCCUUUUGAGGCUGACGAGGAAGGACGGUAGGCCUCGAAGAAGUCACGGCUAACUACGUGCCAGCAGCCGCGGUAAAACGUAGGUGGCGAGCGUUAUCCGGAUUUACUGGGCGUAAAGCGUGUGCAGGCGGGGCCUCAAGUGGUGUAUGAAAUCGCUCGGCUUAACCGGGCGCGGUUAUGCCAGACUGAGGUUCUGGAGUGCGGGAGAGGGGCGUGGAAUUCCGGGUGUAGUGGUGAAAUGCGUAGAGAUCCGGAGGAACCCCAGAGGCGAAGGCGGCGCCCUGGCCCGACACUGACGCUCAGACACGACAGCAUGGGGAGCGAACGG